GCUCAGGCUGGUUCAAUAUACGUUAUGGGAGACGGACUGGGUGGCCGAGUUGGGGGGCCGUGCCGGGGCGACAGGGGUCGGCCCGCGCCGCUCCCUGCAUGGGACCGGAAUACAGCGGCUUUCAGGGAAGGCCGUGGGAGUGGCUUCGCCCCAGGGCCAGCUAGCGAGACUAAGGCCAGGGGAGCUAAUAGCAGCCACAGAUGCAGUGGUGGAAGCGUUUAAUAAACUUGUGCAUAAGGCCGAACCACCUACUCCGUGCACAGAUAUUACCCAGGGCCCGAAUGAAUCCUUUCAAAGCUUUACAGACAGGCUUUUAGCUGCUGCAGAGGGGUCUGAUCUCCUGGUACCGGCCCAAGGGCCAGUGAUCAUUGACUGCUUGCAGCAGAAAUCGCAUGACAAUGUUAAGGCAUUGCUGCGAGCCGGCCGAAGUACGCUUAAUACCUCGGGAGAAGUUAUUCAGUAUGUCUUAGAUAAGCUCAAGGUGGCUCAUUUAACUAAUGAAAGGCUAGUCACAGCUAUUGUCGUAGCUGUUGGCCUGCGACAGCAAAGAUCGCUGCAGCAGCAAGGGCUGUGUUUCCGAUACGGCCAGUAUGGCCAUGUUAGAGCACAAUGCCCCUGUGGGGGAGGCCAGUCAGGGCCUCCUGAUCACAGGAAGGGCUUGCUAAAGGGUAUCCGUGGUCGGGUAUGCAGCAGUUAAACAUCAUGAAUCUGGGAAAUUCUGUGGGUACCAUCGCGAAAAGUAAUACCAGAUAUAAGUAGCAUAUCUGCAAAAACUGAGUCUAGGUGCGAGUUUUCUACAGAAAUUCUUCGUUGGCAGACCGAAGCCAACUCCAGAACAACUGAGGGACAGACGAUGGGAUCAAGAACCACUCGUCAAGAGGAGCACUACACCUGCAACGCUGACACUUCCAAUGUUGCUGAUAUUUAUGGUGUCCAUGGCGAUUACAGAGUGUCACAAACAACUACAAUGGACACAAGAACAUAUGCAGAAAAUUAAAGAAGAGCGUGAUCCCUUUGGAAGCUGGCUGGACGGACUGUUUGGGGGAACGGGAUGCUUGCAGAACUGCCUUCAACGAAUGAUGGACAAGACUUUUGACUAUCACAUUGAGUAUCAUAGAUUGCGUGAAAAAUUAUAGAGGGGUUUAGGUUGUUGCGUUCGUGCUGUAACGGGGCAAG
ensembl:lncRNA